AAUCAACGCUGGCGGCGUGCCUAACACAUGCAAGUCGAACGAGAAAGUGGAGCAAUCCAUGAGUAAAGUGGCGACCGGGUGAGUAACACGUGACUAACCUGCCCUUGAGUGGGGGAUAACCUCGGGAAACCGGGGCUAAUACCGCAUAACAUCGCAAGAUCAAAGGAGCAAUCCGCUGAAGGAGGGGGUCGCGGCUGAUUAGUUAGUUGGUGAGGUAACGGCUCACCAAGACGAAGAUCAGUAGCCGGCCUGAGAGGGCGCACGGCCACACUGGAACUGAAACACGGUCCAGACUCCUACGGGAGGCAGCAGUGGGGAAUUUUGCGCAAUGGGGGAAACCCUGACGCAGCAACGCCGCGUGGAGGAUGAAGUCCCUUGGGAUGUAAACUCCUUUCGAUCGGGACGAUAAUGACGGUACCGGAAGAAGAAGCACCGGCUAACUCUGUGCCAGCCGCCGCUGUAACAC
rnacentral:rRNA from 1 species